GACUCUGUAGCUCACGUUGUUAGAGCGCUGCGCCAGAAUCGCAGGACCGCGCAGGUUCAAUUCCUGCCAGAGGAC